UACGGAGGGUGCAAGCGUUAUCCGGAUUCACUGGGUUUAAAGGGUGCGUAGGAGGGCAGGUAAGUCAGUGGUGAAAUCCCCGAGCUUAACUUGGGAACUGCCGUUGAUACUAUCUGUCUUGAAUGCUGUGGAGGUGAGCGGAAUAUGUCAUGUAGCGGUGAAAUGCUUAGAUAUGACAUAGAACACCAAUUGCGAAGGCAGCCCGCUACACAGUUAUUGACUCUGAGGCACGAAAGCGUGGGGAUCAAACAGG
rnacentral:rRNA from 1 species